rnacentral:misc_RNA from 1 species
GAUGAAGAACGCAGCGAAAUGCGAUACGUAAUGUGAAUUGCAAAUUCAGUGAAUCAUCGAGUCUUUGAACGCACAUUGCGCCCCCUGGUAUUCCGGGUGGCAUGCCUGUCCGAGCGUCAUUGCUGCCCUCAAGCACGGCUUGUGUGUUGGGCCCCGUCCUCCGAUCCCGGGGGACGGGCCCGAAAGGCAGCGGCGGCACCGCGUCCGGUCCUCGAGCGUAUGGGGCUUUGUCACCCGCUCUGUAGGCCCGGCCGGCGCUUGCCGAUCAACCCAAAUUUUUAUCCAGGUUGACCUCGGAUCAGGUAGGGAUACCCGCUGAACUUAAGCAUAUCAAAAGCGGAGGA